CCGCCUUUACUUCCAUUUUCGUUUCAGGAGGCGUGGUGGCACUCAGUUCAUAAUUUUGGGCCAAUAGUGUUGCUCCUUUUUCCAAACACUUAUUAGCAUAACCGUGAACCAAUGGCAUUGACCCACACACUGGCUGCAAGCUGCCCUGUUGUCUUCCAGGCAGGUCUUUGGCUGAGUGGGCAGAACCUGCUAUCAAGAGCUGCUUGGCUGCAGAGGUUUGUCACUUAGGAAGAAAACACUCGCCAGUACAAGCGGAAAAACUCUACUUUCACUACAGGGACGUUUUAGCAAGUGGCUGCUAACUUGCAGAAGAUCAUAGAUGAUCCCAAAGCUUUAAAAACAUUGACAUUUAAUUUGCAAGGGAAAUGUACAAUUUUCCCCACAUAUGAAGUCCUGUCAAAAUAUGCCUGGCAAAAUGCGCCACUAUCCACCAUCCUCACCAGUGCAAAUCAAUAAGACUUCCUGAUCUUGGACUUUAAUCCUCCAAAACUAUUACAACACUAAAGGCAGAGCCAACAAUCAGAGAGAAAAUUAUCCAGAUGAAUUGGAGACUGAAGAAAGAGAAUUUCUUCACUAACGGAGAUUUAUCUAAAGUUGGAGCAGAUACCCUUGUAUGUGGAGAAGCACAUGAAAUUAAAGGAAUAUUUUGUUUGAUUUAUGACAAAAUAAAGUACUGAAGAAAAUUUUUAUACUUGUGAUUCAGUAGCAUAAGUGAAAUAAUGGUAAGGCAUGUGCAACACUAUUGUAAGAGAGCUUAAGAAGGGAAGAGACUAUAGGAUCCCACGCACAGGGGCAGAGACAUAUUGAAAUUACAAAAGAGCAGGAAAAAUUCUUGGGUUUUAAUUGUAAAUUUGUCAGGCAAAUUUAUACGUGUAUACCAGAGAGGAGCUUGGGAAUUUUUUGUUGGGAGAAUGUGUAUAUUGUUGAAUAAAGUAAAGGCUAGGGGGAAAAAGAAGCAGGGAGCUGAAGACUGAAAAAACACUAUGCCUAUCAGUUUCAAUAUGGAAAUACUAUGGCUUCAUAUCUAUCAAAUGAUAUGAUCAUUACCUAUCUUAAAAUGAAAGGCUUUUAAACUAUCACUUAUAAAAUUGAAAAAGUUAAAGAAGAUAAAAUGAAAAAAAUGUAAAAUCCUAUAGUAGGAGCACAAACAAAUUAAAAA